GUGAAUCAUCAAAUUUUUGAACGCAAAUUGCACUCUCCUCGGAGAGUAUGACUGUUUGUCGGUCAGUAUUAAUAAAAAUCGGAGUGUUGCUUCUUUGUGAUUCUCGGCAGUUUGGGGCAUGUUAAUAUCCUUUAGGUUUUAAGAUGAUUAAAAUUGACUUUUUUUGCGCAUUUUAGAUGUACAUAAAUUCUUUUUUUUAUUCGUCUGUCUUAAUGCUCAAAAUCCUAUUAGAUGCGACCAUAUCGUGGGGUUU
rnacentral:misc_RNA from 1 species